UACGGAGGGGACUAGCGUUGUUCGGAAUUACUGGGCGUAAAGCGCACGUAGGCGGAUUUGUAAGUCAGGGGUGAAAUCCCGGGGCUCAACCCCGGAACUGCCUUUGAUACUGCGAAUCUCGAGUCCGGAAGAGGUGAGUGGAAUUCCUGGUGUAGCGGUGAAAUGCGCAGAUAUCAGGAGGAACACCUAUGGCGAAGGCAGCUCGCUGGGACGGUACUGACGCUGAGGCGCGAAAGCGUGGGGAGCGAACAGG
rnacentral:rRNA from 1 species